GAAUGCUGACAUAAGUAACGAUAAAGCGGGUGAAAAGCCCGCUCGCCGGAAGACCAAGGGUUCCUGUCCAACGUUAAUCGGGGCAGGGUGAGUCGACCCCUAAGGCGAGGCCGAAAGGCGUAGUCGAUGGGAAACAGGUUAAUAUUCCUGUACUUGGUGUUACUGCGAAGGGGGGACGGAGAAGGCUAUGUUGGCCGGGCGACGGUUGUCCCGGUUUAAGCGUGUAGGCUGGUUUUCCAGGCAAAUCCGGAAAACCAAGGCUGAGGCGUGAUGACGAGGCACUACGGUGCUGAAGCGACAAAUGCCCUGCUUCCAGGAAAAGCCUCUAAGCAUCAGGUAACAUCAAAUCGUACCCCAAACCGACACAGGUGGUCAGGUAGAGAAUACCAAGGCGCUUGAGAGAACUCGGGUGAAGGAACUAGGCAAAAUGGUGCCGUAACUUCGGGAGAAGGCACGCUGAUAUGUAGGUGAAGCGACUUGCUCGUGGAGCUGAAAUCAGUCGAAGAUACCAGCUGGCUGCAACUGUUUAUUAAAAACACAGCACUGUGCAAACACGAAAGUGGACGUAUACGGUGUGACGCCUGCCCGGUGCCGGAAGGUUAAUUGAUGGGGUUAGCGGCAACGCGAAGCUCUUGAUCGAAGCCCCGGUAAACGGCGGCCGUAACUAUAACGGUCCUAAGGUAGCGAAAUUCCUUGUCGGGUAAGUUCCGACCUGCACGAAUGGCGUAAUGAUGGCCAGGCUGUCUCCACCCGAGACUCAGUGAAAUUGAACUCGCUGUGAAGAUGCAGUGUACCCGCGGCAAGACGGAAAGACCCCGUGAACCUUUACUAUAGCUUGACACUGAACAUUGAGCCUUGAUGUGUAGGAUAGGUGGGAGGCUUUGAAGUGUGGACGCCAGUCUGCAUGGAGCCGACCUUGAAAUACCACCCUUUAAUGUUUGAUGUUCUAACGUUGGCCCGUAAUCCGGGUUGCGGACAGUGUCUGGUGGGUAGUUUGACUGGGGCGGUCUCCUCCUAAAGAGUAACGGAGGAGCACGAAGGUUGGCUAAUCCUGGUCGGACAUCAGGAGGUUAGUGCAAUGGCAUAAGCCAGCUUGACUGCGAGCGUGACGGCGCGAGCAGGUGCGAAAGCAGGUCAUAGUGAUCCGGUGGUUCUGAAUGGAAGGGCCAUCGCUCAACGGAUAAAAGGUACUCCGGGGAUAACAGGCUGAUACCGCCCAAGAGUUCAUAUCGACGGCGGUGUUUGGCACCUCGAUGUCGGCUCAUCACAUCCUGGGGCUGAAGUAGGUCCCAAGGGUAUGGCUGUUCGCCAUUUAAAGUGGUACGCGAGCUGGGUUUAGAACGUCGUGAGACAGUUCGGUCCCUAUCUGCCGUGGGCGCUGGAGAACUGAGGGGGGCUGCUCCUAGUACGAGAGGACCGGAGUGGACGCAUCACUGGUGUUCGGGUUGUCAUGCCAAUGGCACUGCCCGGUAGCUAAAUGCGGAAGAGAUAAGUGCUGAAAGCAUCUAAGCACGAAACUUGCCCCGAGAUGAGUUCUCCCUGAGACUUAGAGUCUCCUGAAGGAACGUUGAAGACGACGACGUUGAUAGGCCGGGUGUGUAAGCGCAGCGAUGCGUUGAGCUAACCGGUACUAAUGAACCGUGAGGCUUAACCUU
rnacentral:rRNA from 1 species